GAACGCUGGCGGCGUGCUUAACACAUGCAAGUCGAGCGGUAAGGCCCUUCGGGGUACACGAGCGGCGAACGGGUGAGUAACACGUGGGUGAUCUGCCUUGCACUCUGGGAUAAGCCUGGGAAACUGGGUCUAAUACCGGAUAUGAGCCAGGACUGCAUGGUCUGGGUUGGAAAGGUUUACUGGUGCGAGAUGGGCCCGCGGCCUAUCAGCUUGUUGGUGAGGUAACGGCUCACCAAGGCGACGACGGGUAGCCGACCUGAGAGGGUGACCGGCCACACUGGGACUGAGACACGGCCCAGACUCCUACGGGAGGCAGCAGUGGGGAAUAUUGCACAAUGGGCGCAAGCCUGAUGCAGCGACGCCGCGUGAGGGAUGACGGCCUUCGGGUUGUAAACCUCUUUUGACAGGGACGAAGCGCAAGUGACGGUACCUGUAGAAGAAGCACCGGCCAACUACGUGCCAGCAGCCGCGGUAAUACGUAGGGUGCGAGCGUUGUCCGGAAUUACUGGGCGUAAAGAGCUUGUAGGCGG
rnacentral:rRNA from 1 species